rnacentral:misc_RNA from 1 species
AACGCACAUUGCGCCCCUUGGUAUUCCGAGGGGCAUGCCUGUUCGAGCGUCAUUAUAACCAAUCACGCCCUGUGCGUGGACUUGGGGUUCGCGGUCUCGCGUCCCUUAAAACCAGUGGCGGUGCUGUUAGGCUCUAAGCGUAGUAAUUCUUCUCGCUACAGGGUCUUGCGGUUACUUGCCAUAACCCCAACUUUCUUAGGUUGACCUCGGAUCAGGUAGGGAUACCCGCUGAACUUAA